rnacentral:rRNA from 1 species
UCCGCGCCGUAGCUAACGCAUUAAGUGCCCCGCCUGGGGAGUACGGCCGCAAGGCUAAAACUCAAAGAAAUUGACGGGGGCCCGCACAAGCGGCGGAGCAUGCGGAUUAAUUCGAUGCAACGCGAAGAACCUUACCAAGGCUUGACAUAUACUGGACUGCGUCAGAGAUGGCGUUUCCCUUCGGGGCUGGUAUACAGGUGGUGCAUGGUUGUCGUCAGCUCGUGUCGUGAGAUGUUGGGUUAAGUCCCGCAACGAGCGCAACCCUCGUUCUAUGUUGCCAGCACGUGAUGGUGGGGACUCAUAGGAGACUGCCGGGGUCAACUCGGAGGAAGGUGGGGAUGACGUCAAAUCAUCAUGCCCCUUAUGUCUUGGGCUUCACGCAUGCUACGAUGGCCGGUACAGAGGGUUGCGAUACUGUGAGGUGGAGCUAAUCCCUAAAAGCCGGUCUCAGUUCGGAUUGGGGUCUGCAACUCGACCCCAUGAAGUCGGAGUCGCUAGUAAUCGCAGAUCAGCAACGCUGCGGUGAAUACGUUCCCGGGCCUUGUACACA